CCCUUAGAUGUUCUGGGCCGCACACGCGCUACACUGAAGGAGGCAGCGUGUACUCCUGGAUCGAAAGAUUUGGGUAACCCGCGAAUCUCCUUCGUGCUAGGGAUUGAGGUUUGCAAUUAUCCUUCAUGAACGAGGAAUUCCCAGUAAGUGCAAGUCAUAAGCUUGCGCUGACUACGUCCCUGCCCUUUGUACACACCGCCCGUCGCUACUACCGAUUGAAUGAUUUAGUGAGGACUUCGGACUGGGACCGAUGCGGCUUUCGGGCUGCGUCGGUAUUCUGGAAAGAUGUCCAAACUGUAUCAUUUAGAGGAAGUAAAAGUCGNAACA
rnacentral:rRNA from 1 species